rnacentral:lncRNA from 1 species
UUUUUAGACGGAACUAGAGGGGAACCCAGCUUUAGAAGAUCGUUGUUUGGCAGUCCCUAUCUAACUGGUAGUUGCCUACAAUCUCAUUUAUAUCUGAGAUUGUCUAACAUUACAUGUACAGAUAGAAUGGUCUCUACGCAUGAUACGAUGUAGCUCUGCCCACAUAGAUUGAGGGAGAAUGAGGCAAUAUUCUGAACCUCAAUAUGUCAGUCACAUGAUACCAUCACCUUCAUCGGUGUUAUUUCUCAGCGUUGCGAAAUAUCAGAAAAACUUACAGGUCUGACGCAUGGUCUCUACUCAUGAUCAAAUAGUCCUUUAGGAAUGCAAAUUUAUUUGUUGCAUUUAUUUGCAUUCGUCCCACUUGUAUGUAAUAUGUGUCCUCGAGAUUGUUGGAUCAAUGAAGAGUUUCAAUCGGAGAAUCAUUACAAUCGAUUCUAAAAACAAAUUGUAGUGAUAAUGCGUGGUAGUCAAAAUAUACCUGUACAUUUAAGUUACUAACAGAUUACCUAACAAAAUGGUAUGCACUCUUUAAAAAUCUAUACAAGUUGUAAUUAAUUACUCGUACAAAAUCUUUCUAACAAAAGCACUCAAUAUGCAUAUAUCUUACCAUAUAUCAUGGUUCUUUUGUAAUUAAAAAUGAAAAAAAGAUAAUAAUUGUGUUAAUUUUUUUAACACUACUUCCUUGAAACACUCUUGCUACAGUUCAUAGAAAGAUUAACUUAUCUUCCUGUAGAUUCAGCAAUACACGGAUUUGUUUUUUUAAAAAAGUGAAAUUAAAACAAGAAAAACAAUAAAUUAACUAUUGUCAUUGUUAUUGAAGCUUUCUUUUUAAAGUCC